AACAGAAGUGAAACGCUGUUAACGAAAGGGAGGAAGUGUCUCUGGAUGGACCAAACAACAGAUGUCCUCUCCAGCCAUCACUGCAAAUGUUGAUCAUUAUGGGAAAGGUUUGUCAUAGCUUUCCUGCCAAGAAGUAAUCAUCUUCUAAUUUCAUGGCAGCAACCUAGACAGUGACAAACCUAGAUGGUGUAUUAAAAAGCAAAGGCAUCACUUUGCCAACAAUACAGGCAGAUAUGUCUAAGAAUUUGUCUUUCCACUAAUCAUGUACUGAUGUGAGAGUUGGAACAUAAAGAAGGCUGAGCACCAAAAAUUGAUGCUUUUGAAUGGUGGUGCCAGAGAAGACUCUUGAGAGUUCCUUGGACACCAAAAUCAAACCAGUUAAUCCUAAAGGAAAUCAAACCUGAAAACUCACUGGAAGGACUGAGGCUGAAGCUGAAGCUCCAAUACUUUGGCCAUCUGAUACAAAGAGCCAACUCAUUGGAAAAGACCCUGAUGCUGGGAAAGACUGAAGGCAGAAGAAGAGGGUGACAGGGAAUAAGAUGGUUGGAUGGCAUCACCAAUUCAAUGAAAAUGAACUUGGGCAAACUCAAGGAGAUGGCGAGGGACAGGAAGGCCUGACUACAGAAAUGAUGUUAGACAUAGAGCAAAUUUCAGUGACUUUUUUAUUGGAAUUCAAAAUGGAUCAUAAAGCAAUAGAGACAACUCAAAACAGCAACAACAUAUUUGACCCAGGAACUGCUAGUGAACAGAGAGUGCUGUUGUGAUUCAAGAAGUUUUGCAAAGGAGACAAGAGCCUUGAAGAUGAGGAGCACAGUGAUCAGCCAUUGGAAGUUGGCAAUAAACAAUUGAGAGCAAUCAUCAAAGCUGAUCCUCUUAAAACUACCUGAGAAGUUGUCCAUGAACUCAACAUAGACCCUUCUGUGGUCAUUUAGCAUUUGAAGCAAACUGGAGAGGUGAAAAAAGCUUGAUAAGUGGGUGCCUCAUGAGCUAACUGAGAAUAAAAAAAAAAAUCAUUGUUUUGAAGUGUUCUCAUCCUAUGCAACAACAACAAACCAUUUCUUGACUGGAUCAUGACAUGAAAUUAAAAGUGGCUUUUAUAUGAUGACCGGCAAUGACCAGUUCAGUAGUUGGAUAGGGAGGAAGCUCCAAAGCACUUCCCAAAGCCAAACUUGCAGCAAAACAAGGUCAUGGUCACUGGUGGUCUGCUAAACUUCUAAUCCAGUAAAGCUUUCUGAAUCCUGGUGAAAUCAUUACAUCUGAGAAAUAUACUCAGCAAAUCGAUGAAAUGCACCAAAAACCAUACCUGUAACCAGCACAGAUCAAAAGAAAAGGCCCAAUUUUUUUCCACAACAAUGGCCUGACCACAUGUCACACAACCAAAGCUUCAAAAGUUGAAUGAAUUGGGCUACAAAGUUUUGCCCCAUUCACCAUAUUCACCUGACCUCCCACCAACAGACUACCACUUCUUCAAGUAUCUCAACAACAUUUUGCAGAGAAAAGGCUUCCACAACCAGCAGGAGGCAGAAAAUGUUUUCUGAGAGUAUGUCAAAUCCUGAAGUACAGAACUUUAUGUUAGAAGAAAAAACAAACUUAUUUCUUGUUGACAAAAUUGUGUUGAUUAUAAUGGUUCCUAUUUUGAUUAAUAAAGUUAUGUUUGAG
ensembl:lncRNA